AGGUCAUGUUGAGGACAAUUCCUUAACAACCCCUUAUAGCGUUCCCAUGCCUCAUAUAACGACUCUCCUGGUUGUUGUUCAAAGUUAGCUAUCGCCUUCUUUAGUUU